UAACAAGCAGCUGCCAGAUCGCUUCUCAUUUUCAGAACUCGUUGUUCUUAUUGCGAUUUAAAACCACUACCAACCGCAGCAGACCGUGUUCAGUAUGUUUUCCACGAAAUGUUUACUGGUGUCGGUAGUUUUCUUCGGCACCAUGAUGGUCGUGCUGGCAAGUUCCAAGUGCUUGGACGAAAACAAUAAACUGAUGAGAAUCGGGGAAGAAUAUGUAAUGCGCGGAAAUCCGUGUAUUAGCUGCGUCUGCCGAUUUGGCACGUAUUCGUGCAAGAGCACCUUCUGCAGAAUGAAACCCUGUCUUCCCGGUACAAGACCCGUGCCAAGCAAGACCAAAUGCUGCGACAGGACAUGUGAGAGAUUGCCCAAACUGUGAAUGCAAUGAAAUCCAAUGUCACUCGGUUUGAAAUAAAGAAAUGUUCAUCCUA